AUAGAUUGAUUUGAGUAGGAAAAAUUCCCAAUCUUCCUUAUAUUUUAUUGACUUUUAUUAAUUUUUUUUUAUCAUAUAUUGGCGUCCAAACUAUAUGAUACUGUAUCCCUAGUUUCGCUUAUGUAAAGGCAUUUUUGUGACUACUGACAUAUCCCCUCAAAAGAAUUUCGAAACAAUAAUAGGCUAGAAAAAGGCUUUUCAUGGUUCAAGAGAAGAACAAUAUCUCUCUUUCUCUUGUUCCUACUUGAAUCCCUCCCCUUUAGUAAUGUAUUUUGCCUCUGCUUUAAUAGCCUAAAAGUCACAUAAUUUGCUUAUUUUCGGAAUUUCUUUGAGGCUAACCUUUUAUUAAUUGGAUAUUGCUUAUCUUACGAAUUGACAAUGCAUCGAGAUAUUAACCAUCGCAACUCAAGUGGUCUUCCUUUAAUGUGCUACUAAAUAAUGUAUAUUUAUAACAAUGCAUGAGAUAAAUAAUGGCGUAAAUGUGAUGGAGAUAAAUUUACUAUUUUAACCUGAGUUUUAUUUUUCAGAUAAUAAAUAAUUAUAGGUUUAUAGUUGUACUAAAUAUUAAAGGAAAAUUAUUAUUGCACCACCUUUAUUUUGUCUUAUAUCCAACCACUACAAAUUUCUAACAUGUAUUUUGCACCACCUUUCUUUUCACAUUUGUAUCAACUAGCCAAUUUUGCAUUAAUACUAUUAAAUAAUUUUAAUAAAAUGACAGUUUUAACCCCAAAUAAAUUAAAAGACCAUUUUAUUUUAUAA
rnacentral:lncRNA from 1 species